CUCCUCUACACAGCUCCAGAUAUCCAAGAAAUCUGCAUAAGUGUGUUUGCUUUAAAAAGCCUUCACUUCUCAAAAUCUGAUUGAAAUUGGCAGAUUCGGGAAUUAAAGGAAAAGACACUGAAAUUAUGUUUUCCUAGCAUUCUUAAGGAAUCUUUCCUAGCAAUCUUAAGGAUUAGAAGUACACUUUUUUGGCACAGGCUGCUUGAAGAAAAAUAUGCCUUUGUAGUACAAUAAUUCACAAGAAGAAAACGGUUCAAAACAAGCCCCUUCCCCAAAUUGUCUAUUCGGAGACACAAACAGUUUGGUUAACAAAAGGAAUCUCAACAUUGUGGCCCACUGGCAGAAGUCCCACUCAGUUAAUUAAAAGAAUGUAAUGCCAGCAAGAAUGAGGUCCUCUGCUAUAUUCCAGCAGCAGCGAAGGAUCAUCUUGUGCUGCAGCUUCUCCAGGACAACGCUUCAGAACAAGAGCAGGAAAAGUUGAGAUCAAAACUUCUGCCAACAGCAGCCAAAAUUUUAGAGGCAGAUGGAAUUGCUGAGCACACAAAUGAAACCAUUUGCACACAGCAACACAAAGGUCUUGGCACAAAACAUGUGAUGACCUCUGCCACAGAAGGGUCUGGACACUGCUGUCAAGAACUCACACGGCAUUUUAGGGACUAAAACUCCACAAACACAAUUCAAAUUAAAACCACAUAUUCUAAGUGCUAAGUGAGUUUAUUCUCCUCAUCUGUGGCUGAAGAAGUAACAGUGAAAUUAUACCUAAGUUUAGAGAAGUUGCUAAUCUUGGACAGCUCAGGAUUGCUCACACACAGAGAAUUAAGCACUGCUGACACUCACUGUUAAAUAAAGCCCCUCCAAAAACAUCAGCAAUAAAACCACUUUAGCAACAACUCCAAGAGGAAAAGCAGCUGCACAGUCGUGGUGCAGAGGCUGAGCCAGAAUUUUGUGCUGUUUUUAGAGGAGCUACAGCUUUUUGAGGAAAAGAGUGUUCUCUUAGCUCGGGAUUGCAGGAAGGAACAGCAACUUUUCUUACCAUCUGGGACAAAAACAUGGGCUCUGAAUUUUCGACUGGAACCAGACAUUUGGUGCUUAGGACUCCUAAAAUAAAAGCAGUUUUACUGUGGUCAGAAUCAUUUGUGGUGCAUUUUAUGCACAGCUCCACACUUCCCUCAUCUCUGAAUGCCUGAACAUCAUGACCCUCACAACAC
rnacentral:lncRNA from 1 species